CCAAACUUGGUCAUUUAGAGGAAGUAAAAGUCGUAACAAGGUUUCCGUAGGUGAACCUGCGGAAGGAUCAUUAACGAAUUACGAGUCAGGCUGACCGUGCUGGCGGAGACGCAUGUGCACGUCAGUCAUGACACAUCCACACACCUGUGAACCUAUGGCCUUUUGGGUUUUCAAACCCAGGGCAAACCUUUUUUUACCCACUCUGUUUGUAAAGGAAUGUCUGAUGUGCGAAUGCACAAAAGCAAACAACUUUCAACAACGGAUCUCUUGGCUCUCGCAUCGAUGAAGAACGCAGC
rnacentral:misc_RNA from 1 species